AUGAUGAUGAGGAGGAGGAGGAGGAGCCGCCGUUUGGUGAGAGACUCAACUCCAGACUGGACCGCCCAGCCCCGCACAGACUUCCUUCUACAGAUGCGCUACAUAAAUCUGUAGCACACGGACGAACAGAAGGCGACGGUACCGUCGGAGGUGUGUGGAAGCGUCCGUGCACAGCAUCACUACCUGCUCUCGUCCACCUUGCAAGAUGCUGCGCGCAUGCGCCGUGUCGAGAAGCAGUCGUGAACUGCAGCGGUGGUACGAGCACAUAAUGCAGAAAGACAGCACGAUGGCCCAGUGGGUCGCACUGUUGCCUCACAGCAAGAAGGUCCUGGGUUCGAACGCCAAGAAUACACUGUCAAAUAAAAUGACUUUCAUUUCAUA